rnacentral:rRNA from 1 species
AGUAACGCGUGAGGAACCUGCCUCAAAGAGGGGGACAACAGUUGGAAACGACUGCUAAUACCGCAUAAGCCCACGGCUCGGCAUCGAGCAGAGGGAAAAGGAGCAAUCCGCUUUGAGAUGGCCUCGCGUCCGAUUAGCUAGUUGGUGAGGUAACGGCCCACCAAGGCGACGAUCGGUAGCCGGACUGAGAGGUUGAACGGCCACAUUGGAACUGAGACACGGCCCAG